AAGUAAGAAGCAAACGUUGCAAUCAGUUUCGACCUGACCCUUGAUGAAAUAACUCAUCCUUACUUU
rnacentral:tRNA from 1 species